rnacentral:rRNA from 1 species
CAAAGGCUUCGGCCGGUAAAGGAUGGGGAUGCGUCUGAUUAGCUUGCCGGCGGGGUAACGGCCCACCGGGGCGACGAUCAGUAGGGGUUCUGAGAGGAAGGUCCCCCACAUUGGAACUGAGACACGGUCCAAACUCCUACGGGAGGCAGCAGUGAGGAAUAUUGGUCAAUGGGCGCGAGCCUGAACCAGCCAAGUAGCGUGCAGGACGACGGCCCUAUGGGUUGUAAACUGCUUUUAUACGGGGAUAAAGUAUGCCACGUGUGGUUUAUUGCAGGUACCGUAUGAAUAAGGACCGGCUAAUUCCGUGCCAGCAGCCGCGGUAAUACGGAAGGUCCGGGCGUUAUCCGGAUUUAUUGGGUUUAAAGGGAGCGUAGGCCGGGUUUUAAGCGUGCCGUGAAAUGUCGGGGCUCAACCUUGACACCGCGGCGCGAACUGGAGUCCUUGAGUGCGCGGAACGUAUGCGGAAUUCGUGGUGUAGCGGUGAAAUGCUUAGAUAUCACGAAGAACCCCGAUUGCGAAGGCAGCAUACGGCAGCGCUACUGACGCUGAAGCUCGAAGGCGCGGGUAUCGAACAGGAUUAGAUACCCUGGUAGUCCGCGCGGUAAACGAUGGAUGCCCGCUGUUGGCGAUAUAUUGUCA